rnacentral:rRNA from 1 species
GAUGAACGCUGGCGGCGUGCCUAAUACAUGCAAGUCGAGCGCACAGUUGAGGAGCUUGCCCCUCUGCCGUUAGCGGCGGACUGGUGAGUAACACGUGGAUAACCUCUCUAUAAGACUGGGAUCACUUCGGACGACCGGUGCUACUCCCUGAUAAUACAUUGAACCGCCUGUAUCAAUAUAAAAACGCGGUUUGGUUUACACUUAUCGUUGGUUCCGCGCCGCAUUUGCUAGUUUGUAAGGUAACGACUUCCCAAGGCAACGAGGCGUAGCCGACCGGGGAUGGGGAGCAGCCACACUAGAACUGAGACACGGUCCAGACUCCUACGGGAGGGAGCAGUAGAGAAUCGUCCGCAAUGGGCGGAAGCCUGACGGGGCAACGCCACGUGAGGGAUGAAAGUCUGCGGAUCGUAAAACUAUGUUAUUAGUGAGAGACAAAUGUGUAAGUAACUAGGCGCUUGUUGACGGUACCUAAUCAGAAAGCCACGGCUAACUACGUG